AGUAAAGUUACAGUUGUCUUCUAAAUCAUGUAGGAAGUACAAUACUAAGGCUGCGUAUAAUCUCAAACUUUUUAAAAAGUCCUCUAUUUCUUAACCUACUUGACGUUUUACUCUGUAAAUGUGACACAAAUGCUCCAAAAGAAUUAGAUUCUUUUAUUUAAUCCCUUUCAAGAUAGGAAAUUUUCUGACAAAGAACACUUUGUUUGCUACUAGUUUUUUAAGAGAAAUGUUGCAGAUAACAAUUUGGAAGAGGCAACAAAAAUAAUUUCUAAAAGAUAUUUAAAUUCCGAGUCUUUGGGUAGAAAAAGAAAAAAAGUCUCUAAGGAAAAUCAGAUCAUAUCCAUGGAUUUGAAUUUAAAAAUUAUACUGAAUCGACAUUACUGUUUUUCUUCUAUGGAGAAAAAUUCUGUUUAUAUGGGAAAAUAAAUUACCAAGAUCUUAAUCAUGCGCAGCUGAGGAGUCAAUCAGCCGAUUUAAAAAUUAUACUGAAUCGACAUUACUGUUUUUCUUCUAUGGAGAAAAAUUCUGUUUAUAUGGGAAAAUAAAUUACCACGAUCUUAAUCAUGCGCAGCUGAGGAGUCAAUCAGCCGCUAUGUAUGGAUGCCUGGAUAGUGCUAGUUGAAAGAUACUAUGGUUAAAAGCCUGAACAUCAAACAGCGACCCACGCAUCAUUGUAAACUGGUACCUCCAUUAAUUAUACGAAACGAGAAAAUAGCUUCCAACAUAAGGAUGCGUCGUGGUACUGAAACUGGCAAUUUAGCAGCUAUCCAUUACAAAUUAAAACUAGCUGUGAUGAUCCCUGCGAUACAGUGGCUUACGGACCGUCUACUUCUAAUCAGGUAUCAACGCUCCUUUAUGCUUGUGUAGCUUGUUAUGUAAAAACCAAAAAAAAUCCUCACAAAUGCGUCUCUGUUUAAACAGCGGUAUUUAUAGAUUGAAUGUUGGUGGAGGGAGCUUCCCGAUAGGCUGGAAAGUUUUUUGUAAAACUGGCUUAAAUGCAUUGAAAUACUUUGAUACAUUACGACUCUACAUGUGAAAAAAACCGGUAAAACAUUUCUUUUCGCGAACACAAAAGAUGUAGGUAGUCCUGUGAACAAAAAUCUGCUAUAUUUUUCGUUUUUUUUCCAGGGCUGCUUUUACAUCUUGGCUAUAAUAAUCGCCAUAUUCUAUUUGUCUCUGCGCAAAAUGGUACCUCAAGUAGCGAAACACACGAAAUGCGGUAUAUAAAGGACGCACGAACCACCGACUGGUAUAUUAUGAUUCCGCUCAUAAAAAGAGAGUUAGAUUUAUUUCGAGCCACAGUAUGAAACACACAACGAAUAAGACAUCAGACAGACAUAUUCCUACCAUCUGGAGUUCCGGAAUAUAUAUACGAGUUUCCUGAAAAUUUUGGUCUUACCCAAUGUGGCAAGUGUCCUAAAUGACCAGAUUAUAUACUUACCUGCUCGAAUAUUUUAUUAAAAUGGUGUGUUCUAUUUUGUAGGACACACACUUUAAUUACUCAAAUCGUAGUGGCGAUGACUCAAUCAGGUCUUGAUGUCGUUAAAGACGAUUUUCUAAGCACCGAAGACAGAAGAUCAUUACAAAUUUGUUCAAAAAAUCCUCCCGAACUUGAUGCUAAAGAAUUCCUCGAAGCCUACAAAUACCUUUGUACAUGAUAUUAACGGAGCAGUUUAUUAACAACACGUGUUUUAUUACUCAAAAAACAGGGUUUGGAGAAAAUACUGCAUGCUAUGGAGAGGAGACGUACUCGCAUGUCAUCAUGGUUUAACUUUUCGCUGGUUGUUUGAUUG